CGCGUAGGCGGCUUUGCAAGUUGGGCGUGAAAGCCCUGGGCUUAACCCAGGAAUUGCGCUUGAGACUGCUUGGCUUGAGUGCGGGAGAGGUGAGUGGAAUUCCCAGUGUAGAGGUGAAAUUCGUAGAUAUUGGGAAGAACACCAGUGGCGAAGGCGGCUCACUGGCCCGCAACUGACGCUGAGGCGCGAAAGCGUGGGGAGCAAACAGGAUUAGAUACCCUGGUAGUCCACGCUGUAAACGAUGGGUGCUAGACGUCGGGGGACUCAGUUCCGCGGUGUCGCAGCUAACGCAUGAAGCACCCCGCCUGGGGAGUACGGCCGCAAGGUUAAA
rnacentral:rRNA from 1 species